rnacentral:rRNA from 1 species
GUUGAACGCUGGCGGCGUGCCUUAUACAUGCAAGUCGAACGAUCACAGAACUAGCUUUGUUCUUUGAUGGUGGCGGCGGACGGGUGAGUACCACAUGGGUACCCUCCCUAUAAGACUGGGAUAACUUCGGGAAAUCGGAGCGAAUACGGACUAACAUAUCGAACCGCAUGGUUCAGUAGUUAACGGCGGCUGUGCGGUCACUGAUAGAUGGAUCCGCGCCGUAUUAGCUAGUUGGUAAGGUAACGGCUUACCAACUGGACGAUGGGUAGCCGACCUGAGAGGAUGAUCGGCCACACUGGAACUGAGACACGGUCCAGACUCCUACGGGAGGCAGCAGUAGGGAAUCUUCGGCAAUGGGCGAAAGCCUGACGGAGCAACGCCGCGUGAGUGAUGAAGGCCUUCGGAUCGUAAAACUCUGUUAUCAGGGAAGAACAGAUGUGUACGAAACUGUACACAUCUUGACGGUACCGGAUCAAAAAGCACCGGCUAACUACGUG